CGUUCCAUGGCCGAAUUGGUCAAGGCAUCGCCGAUUAUAGGCGAAAUUGCUGGUUCGAGUCCCGCUAGAACGG
rnacentral:tRNA from 1 species